rnacentral:rRNA from 1 species
CAGUCGCGGGGCAGCAUGACAUCAGCUUGCUGAUGUUGAUGGCGACCGGCGCACGGGUGAGUAACGCGUAUCCAACCUGCCCUUUACUAUGGGACAGCCCGUCGAAAGGCGGAUUAAUACCGUAUGUUGUCAUGUUGAUGCAUAUUUUCAUGACCAAAGGCUUCGGCCGGUAAAGGAUGGGGAUGCGUCUGAUUAGCUUGCCGGCGGGGUAACGGCCCACCGGAGCGACGAUCAGUAGGGGUUCUGAGAGGAAGGUCCCCCACAUUGGAACUGAGACACGGUCCAAACUCCUACGGGAGGCAGCAGUGAGGAAUAUUGGUCAAUGGGCGCGAGCCUGAACCAGCCAAGUAGCGUGCAGGACGACGGCCCUAUGGGUUGUAAACUGCUUUUAUACGGGGAUAAAGUAUGCCACGUGUGGUUUAUUGCAGGUACCGUAUGAAUAAGGACCGGCUAAUUCCGUGCCAGCAGCCGCGGUAAUACGGAAGGUCCGGGCGUUAUCCGGAUUUAUUGGGUUUAAAGGGAGCGUAGGCCGGGUUUUAAGCGUGCCGUGAAAUGUCGGGGCUCAACCUUGACACUGCGGCGCGAACUGGAGUCCUUGAGUGCGCGGAACGUAUGCGGAAUUCGUGGUGUAGCGGUGAAAUGCUUAGAUAUCACGAAGAACCCCGAUUGCGAAGGCAGCAUACGGCAGCGCUACUGACGCUGAAGCUCGAAGGCGCGGGUAUCGAACAGGAUUAGAUACCCUGGUAGUCCGCGCGGUAAACGAUGGAUGCCCGCUGUUGGCGAUAUAUUGUCAACGGCCAAGCGAAAGCGUUAAACAUC